rnacentral:lncRNA from 1 species
GUAUAAACCGGAAGCUGCGUCACUUUCAGUUUCAGUUUUCCAUUUCAGGUGUGUUUUCAGGUAUAGUGGAGCCCGGGCCUUACAGUAGACUUAUAAUGGAGCUUGAUCAAACUUGGAAGUCAUCAGUUAGAAAUCAGAAAUAUCCUAAAAUUACUGAUUUUCCACUAUCAGUAUUUUAUUAGGACAUUAUACUGUAUAUUAUCACAAUAAAUUUAAUGAACACACAACUAUAGGACAAAAUCAUGUUUUUUGCUAAAAUAGGAUGUUUCUAAUAUAUUGGACAUUUACUCGUUGACUUGUACAUAUGUGAAAUCAUUGACCAAGCAUAGAAUUAAUCAUUAAGUUUCCUAUACUAUUGUUUAUCAAACAAACACUAGAGAAAGAUCUCCUCGGUGUAACUCCAUUAUGUGAUAAAAUAUCUGAUUUUGCACUCUCCUAAGAAUGCUUGAUAACUCUCUUUUCUGCAGAAGAGAAAGAUUACUUCAAAUAGUUCUUAUGGACAGCUUAUUAUGGAGAAGUAAGCAUGAAUGCCUAAGGAUUUAAAUUCAUUUAAAGCAUAAAGUGAAUAUCUUUUGAAGAAAAGAACUGAAGAAUGAUUAGCCCACAUUGUUGUUAUGCUGACAAGAGAAGAUAAAUCUAAGAAAAGUGUUGCUUGACCAUCAAUCUUAUUCCACAAUUUAAAGAUUUUUAUAGUAAAGACUAAUUCUGUACUCUUAUAAAAUGACCUAACCAACAGCCUAUUAGCUAAAUUAAAUAGACUUGUAAAAACAAAUUAUUUCCAUCAUUCCUAAUCUGUCAGAAAAUACAUAACUCAGCCUGCUCCAGAUUUUUGACUACAUUAAAACUCAUAAGUCACCUUUAAGUGUAAGACCAAUUGAUCUUACAUUUAAAGAUGACUUAUGAGCAGAUUGCAGAUUCCUGCUGUAUAACUUUAAGAAAAAAUUUGCCUGUUGAUGUUUAGACAAGUUAAAAGUAUAUAAUAAAAUAUAGUUUAUUCCUCAAUUGCAUUUUUUAGAGAAAAUUUAUGAAGUGGGUUCUCUCCCAAAAAGAUCUUAACCAUGUUCCAUUUUGAAAAGCUAUUCUUCACUGAAACUAAUACCUCUCUGCUUUAUGUUCUACAGGUUUCUCCUUGAAAAUGUUCCAAAUAAUAGCCAAUUAGCUCUAACCUUGAGGAACAUUGUCAGUAUCAUAUACUAUAAAUAGUACUUCAUUUUUGAAGAUAGUUACUGUGAACAAAUUGAAGACUUUAUGACCAGGUGCCUUAUGGAGUAAUAUUAGCCAAAAUCUUUCUCUAUUCGGUUGAAUCUACUAUUCUUUGUAAAUUUUAACUGGGAAUCAAAUAUUACCCUAGAUAUGUUGAUGAUAUAUUCGUAGUCUGGGAAAACAAAAUUAAAAUUGGAGAUCUGCAAAAAAGCCUUUCUCUUCAUAAUAUGGACCUGGUCUUGAUGUUGGACCAGAGAAGGCCUACCAUUUCCUUGAUAUAGCUCUCCAUAUAGAAGCAGGCAAAUAUGUCAUCUCUAUAGGAAGCUGACCUAUUACCCUACCAUGAUUCCAGUAUGGUCAGCCAUCCCAGUAGACUAUAAAAAAAGCAGUGUUCAAUGCUUUCUUUAGAAAAAUCUUUUUUCCAUUAUCCUUUAGAAAGAGAUGGAAAGAAUAUAUUAUGGUCAUAGAAAUGGAUAAGAAACAUGGAUAUUUCCUAAGCUUUAUGCAAAAUAUUUACAAAAAAAUUAAAAAUGACCCACUUGACAACUGCCAGAGCUUAGCAUAAGAGUGAAGCUAACCAAUCCAAGCUACUGCUCUGUUUUUGCCAGUACCUUUUGGUUUAAACAAUAACAAAAACAGCAAAAUCAAUUUCUUCUAAUCUUAAUAAUAGGCUUGUGCCCAAGAGAAAUCCCAUUAUAUACAAUACUCUUAUGAAAUGGCAAAGACUUCUAUAAUGAGGGGCUAUUGGACAGGUGUUUAUGUAAUCCUCAUGUUCAGUUAUAAAGACUUGAAUGCUAUCAAAGAAUAUAUAGCUCUAACUAAAAGAAAUUUGAAAGGAGGCUUCUGGAACAUAAAAACAAUGUAUAAAGAGGAUAUUUACAAACUGCUUUAUCAAAUAGAUUCUUUGAACAUGAAGUUGAAAUAGAUUGAAUUUAUUAUAGUUGGAUAUAUAUAUAAAUUGCAGUUUUAGGGUUUUCAUACAAGUAGAUCAGAAAAACAUUUGCAGAUGACAAAAAUGUCAUAUUAUAUCAAUACUGGAUCAUCAUG